CAGCAGCCACGGGAAUACAGAGGGUGCGAGCGUUAAUCGGAUUUACUGGGCGUAAAGCGUGCGUAGGCGGCUUCUUAAGUCGGAUGUGAAAUCCCUGAGCUUAACUUAGGAAUUGCAUUCGAUACUGGGAAGCUAGAGUAUGGGAGAGGAUGGUAGAAUUCCAGGUGUAGCGGUGAAAUGCAUAGAGAUCUGGAGGAAUACCGAUGGCGAAGGCAGCCAUCUGGCCUAAUACUGACGCUGAGGUACGAAAGCAUGGGGAGCAAACAGGAUUAGAUACCCCAGUAGUCCCUGUCUCUUAUAC
rnacentral:rRNA from 1 species